GAGCAGCAGUGCUUGGGCCCGUGGUUCCAUGGAGCUGUUCGUCUGCUGCUAUGUGGUAUCUAUUGGCUAAGUUAAUAUUUCUAUUAAAUUGCCUCGUAGUUGGACUAUCUAGGAUCAUGUGAUGCAGGUAUCUAUUGGCUAAGUUAAUAUUUCUAUUAAAUUGCCUCGUAGUUGGACUAUCUAGGAUCAUGUGAUGCAGAGCCCACAGACCUACGGUAUGGAAACAGGCAUGGAGUUGGUGCUAUCUAACGUGGAUGCACAUGGCGGCGUAGGGCAGCAGGGAAGCACCUUGCCUUUCAUGUCGAUUGGCAUUGGGUCAAUGGUGAUAAGUGUAGCUUUACUAACAUGUAUAGAACCUCCUUUAGUAUUUGUUGAUGUUCCACUACACUUGUCAUCAUGUGAAUAUUUUAAACUAGGCAAACAUUAGUGUGUAUGCUACUUAUAAUGUUGUAAUUGUAUUGCAUUU